rnacentral:rRNA from 1 species
CGGGCGCACGGCGGAUGCCUUGGCACAGGGAGCCGAUGAAGGACGCGGCAAGCUGCGAUAAUCCCCGGCGAGGAGCACACAUCCUUCGACCCGGGGGUCUCCGAAUGGGCGAACCCAUCCACAGCAGUGUGGAUAUCCCCACCCCGAACGCAUAGGGGCGGGGAGGACAACCCGGGGAACUGAAACAUCUAAGUACCCGGAGGAGAGGAAAUCAAUCUCGAGACUCCCCGAGUAGCGGCGAGCGAAAGGGGACCGAUGGCCAAACCGUCGAGCGGGGAUACCCGGCAGGGGUUCCGCCGGCGGGGUUGCAGGGCCGCGCAUCCGGGGGCUGCCGCCCCCGGGCGCAGGUCCGGCUGGGGAGCGGAACGGCAUGGGAGGGCCGGCCGCAGCGGGUGACAGCCCCGUACGCGAACCCAGACCGGACGGCGCGACGCGGUCCCUGAGUAGGGCCGGGCACGUGAAACCCGGUCCGAACCUGGGUGGACCACCAUCCAAGCCUGAGUACUACCCUGUGACCGAUAGCGCACCAGUACCGUGAGGGAAAGGUGAAAAGCACCCCGGGAGGGGAGUGAAACAGUACCUGAAACCGUGCGCCCACGAGCAGUCGGAGCACCCUUGUGGUGUGACGGCGUGCCUUUUGUAGAAUGAGCCAGCGAGUCGCUGGCGCGGGGCGAGGUUAACCGAAAGGGAGCCGGAGCGAAAGCGAGCCUUAACAGGGCGACUUGAGUCCCGCGCCGCGGACGCGAAGCCGGGUGAGCUAUCCGUGGGCAGGCUGAAGCGGGGGUAAGACCCCGUGGAGGGCCGAACGCACGUCGGUUGAAAACGGCGGCGAUGACCUGCGGAUAGGGGUGAAAGGCCAAUCAAACCCGGAGAUAUCUCGUUCUCCCCGAAAUAGCUUUAGGGCUAGCGUCGCGCGUUCACCGCCGGAGGUAGAGCACCGGAUGGACGAGGGGGCUUCGCCGCCUACCGAAUCCAACCGAACUCCGAAUGCCGGCGGCCCAGAGCGCGGCAGUCAGAGCAUGUGGGCUAAGCUGUGUGCUCGAGAGGGAAACAGCCCGGACCGCCCGCUAAGGUCCCCAAGUUCCAGCCGAGUGGCAAAGGAUGUGCGUCCGCCCAGACAACCAGGAUGUUGGCUUAGAAGCAGCCAUCCAUUCAAAGAGUGCGUAACAGCUCACUGGUCGAGUGGACAUGCGCCGACAAUACACGGGGCUAAGCUGGACACCGAAGCGGCGGGAUUUUGAUUUUCAGAAUCGGUAGGGGAGCUUCCCAUGGGCGGUGAAGCCGCCGGGCGACCGGCGGUGGAGCGCAUGGGAGUGAGAAUGCUGGCAUGAGUAGCGAGAGACGAGAGAGUAACUCGUCCGCCGUGAACCCGAGGUUUCCUGGGCAAGGCUAAUCCUCCCAGGGUCAGUCGGGGGCUAAGGCGAGGCCGGUAGGCGUAGCCGACGCGCAGCAGGCAGACAUUCCUGCACCGCGCACGCGGCGCUACGACCGACGGGGCGACGGAUGGGGGUGGCUCGGCGGGGUUCUGGACGUCCCCGUGAUGGAGCGCGGCCCGCGGACCAGGGAAAUCCGGUCCGCACGAGGGCGAGGCUCCGGACGAAGCGAUCAAGCGAAGCGAGUGAGCCCGAGGUCCCUAGAAAAACCCCUAGGCAGGCGCGUGCGCGCCCGUACCGCAAACCGACACAGGUGGGUGGGUAGAACAUACCGAGGCGAUCGGGUCAACCAUGGUCAAGGAACUCGGCACAAUGGCCCCGUAACUUCGGGAGAAGGGGUGCCCGCGCGUACGUGAACGGACUUGCUCCGGGAGCGGAGGCGGGCCGCAGUGGAGAGGCCCAAGCGACUGUUUACCAAAAACACAGGACUCUGCAGAAGCCGCAAGGCGACGUAUAGGGUCUGACGCCUGCCCGGUGCCGGAAGGUCACGCGGAGGAGUUAGCUUUCGAGCGAAGCCCCGAAGCCAAGCCCCGGUAAACGGCGGCCGUAACUAUAACGGUCCUAAGGUAGCGAAAUUCCUUGUCGGGUAAGUUCCGACCUGCACGAAAGGCGCAACGACUUGGGCGCUGUCUCGACCAUGGACCCGGUGAAAUUGCACUGGUCGUGAAGAUGCGACUUACCCGCGGAAGGACGGAAAGACCCCGUGAACCUUCACUGCAGCUUGGCAUUGGCCGCUGGUCCCGCGUGUAGAGGAUAGGCAGGAGGCACAGAUCCGGAGGCGCCAGCCCCCGGGGAGCCGCCCUUGGAAUACUGCCCUCGCGCGACCGGCGUCCUAACCCGAGGCCGUCAACCGGCUCGGGGACCGUGCCAGGCGGGCAGUUUGACUGGGGCGGUCGCCUCCUAAAGGGUAACGGAGGCGCGCGAAGGUCCGCUCGGGACGGUCGGCAACCGUCCUUUUGAAUGCAAGAGUACAAGCGGGCUUGACUGCGAGGCCCACAAGCCGAGCAGGUGCGAAAGCAGGCUCUAGUGAUCCGGCGGCCCCGAGUGGGUGGGCCGUCGCUCAACGGAUAAAAGGUACUCCGGGGAUAACAGGCUGAUCUUGCCCAAGAGUCCACAUCGACGGCAAGGUUUGGCACCUCGAUGUCGGCUCAUCGCAUCCUGGGGCUGGAGCAGGUCCCAAGGGUACGGCUGUUCGCCGUUUAAAGCGGUACGCGAGCUGGGUUCAGAACGUCGUGAGACAGUUCGGUCCCUAUCCUCCGUGGGCGCAGGAGAAUCGAUGGAGGCUGCCCCCAGUACGAGAGGACCGGGGUGGACGCACCUCCGGUGAACCGGUUGUCGACCAACGGCACGGCCGGGUAGCCGCGUGCGGCGCGGAUAACCGCUGAAGGCAUCUAAGCGGGAAGCCGUUCCAGGGAUUAGUUCUCCUUCCGGUAAGGGCCCAGGUAGACUACCUGGUCGAUAGACGGCAGGUGCAAGGACGGCGACGUCCUCAGCCGAGCCGCACUAAUCGCCCGAGCUCUUCCGGA